UACGUAGGGGGCAAGCGUUGUCCGGAUUUACUGGGCGUAAAGAGCGUGUAGGCGGCCAAGCAGGUCCGUUGUGAAAACUGGAGGCUUAACCUCCAGACGUCGACGGAAACCGCGCGGCUAGAGUCCGGAAGAGGAGAGUGGAAUUCCGUGGUGUAGCGGUGAAAUGCGCAGAUAUCAGGAAGAACACCAAUGGCGAAGGCAGCUCUCUGGGACGGUACUGACGCUGAGACGCGAAAGCGUGGGGAGCGAACAGGAUUAAGACUACCCGG
rnacentral:rRNA from 1 species